CAGUGGCGCACGGGUGAGUAACACGUGAGUUACAUGCCCUACAGUGGGGAAUAGCCCAGGGAAACUUGGAUUAAUACCCCAUGGUCUCGCAAGAGUAAAGACGGCGAAAGCUGUCGCUGUAGGAUUGGCUCGCGCCCUAUCAGCUUGUUGGUGAGGUAACGGCUCACCAAGGCUACGACGGGUACCUGGUCUGAGAGGACGAUCAGGCACACUGGAACUGAGACACGGUCCAGACACCUACGGGUGGCAGCAGUCGAGAAUCAUUCACAAUGGGGGAAACCCUGAUGGUGCAACGCCGCGUGGAGGAUGAAGGUCCUUGGAUUGUAAACUCCUGUCAUCUGGGAGUAAGACCUGACGGUAAAUAGCCGGCAGGGUUGAUAGUACCAGAAGAGGAAGGGACGGCUAACUUCGUGCCAGCAGCCGCGGUAAUACGAAGGUCCCAAGCGUUGUUCGGAAUCACUGGGCGUAAAGGGUGCGUAGGCGGCGUGGUAAGUCAGAUGUGAAAUCCCGGGGCUCAACCCCGGAACUGCAUCCGAUACUGCCAUGCUUGAGGAUUGGAGAGGAGACUGGAAUUCUCGGUGUAGCAGUGAAAUGCGUAGAGAUCGAGAGGAACACUCGUGGCGAAGGCGAGUCUCUGGACAAUUCCUGACGCUGAGGCACGAAGGCCAGGGGAGCGAAAGGGAUUAGAUACCCCUGUAGUCCUGGCAGUAAACGGUGCACGUUUGGUGUGAGGGGACUCGACCCCCCUUGUGCCGGAGCUAACGCGUUAAAC
rnacentral:rRNA from 1 species